rnacentral:rRNA from 1 species
GACAGAGGUGCCAAGCGUUAGGCGGAAUCACUGGGCUUAAAGCGUGUGUAGGCGGACUCGUAAGUACCUUGUGAAAUCCCACGGCUCAACCGUGGAACUGCUUGGUAUACUGCUUGUCUUGAGCCACUUAGGGGCGUGUCGGAACAAACGGUGGAGCGGUGAAAUGCGUAGAUAUCAGGAGGAACACCGGUGGCGAAGGCGGGUCUCUGGGCAGUAACUGACGCUGAGGAGCGAAAGCGUGGGGAGCGAACAGG